AUGUUAUUGUGUCCACCCUCUGCACACAUCUGUUUUCCAUCUCUGUCUCUUCUACCUGUUGAACAGGUGAAGCUCCAGCCUCCCAACAACACUCAGGGUCAAAUGGAGGGUCAAAGGUCAGAUCAGAGAGAGUGGCCCUGCUGGUUGUCAGCGCUCUCCUGGCAGCUGCUGUCAUUGUUAUUUGCCGUCUCUCUCUUGAUAACAUGCACACCAAGCAAAGUUUCCAGACUCUGAGAGAUGAACUUGAAGCUGUGAAAAGAAAUCUCACAGAGAGACGCUGUGAAGUAAAAUCAUGCAACACGGUGCAGCAAACCAGCCCACAACCUCCUGUAGUAAAAGAAAGUAAGUGAUGGAUUUUGCCUUUCUUCCAUGUUUGCAUCCUCUGAUGAUGAUUAAAGAACCGGUGAUGUAUUGACAGAUACAAGAAGUCAGAUUGGCAGUAUAUAUACCUGUGAAGUAGAAAACUGUUGACUCUGUCUGAUUGUCUCAGCUGCUCUCAGAUUCAAACUCGUUCAUCUCAAAGUUCCUGCUGCUUCCAAAUCACACAAAUAUAAACAGUGAUCUGUUUCACCUGACUCAAGUUUUUACUGUGAUCUCUUCAAAGAUGACUCAUGUCCAAAAUGUGAAUAUGGCUGGGAGCAGCAUGGAAGACAGUGUUAUUUAUUUUCUCCAUCGAUCCUUUAACCUGGAGUGAGAGCAGAUAUGAAUGCAGACAGAAAGGAGGAGAUCUGGUUCAGAUAGACAGCAGAGAGGAGCAGGUAAAACACACUGCUGCAGGUUCAUGUAGCUCACUGGCUUUAUUCUCAUUUGUUUUAUCACAUCCUGUGUUUCCACAUUAGUUAACAUGGUCUCUCAGCA
rnacentral:lncRNA from 15 species